rnacentral:rRNA from 1 species
GAGGGGGCAGCAAUGUCACCGUCGUACGGGUGCGUAACGCGUAUGCAACCUACCUUUAACUGGGGGAUAGCCCGGGGAAACCCGGAUUAAUACCGCAUGACACAUUUGGGCCACCUGGUUUGAUUUGUUAAAGAUUUAUUGGUUAAAGAUGGGCAUGCGUUCGAUUAGCUAGUUGGCAGGGUAACGGCCUACCAAGGCAACGAUCGAUAGGGGAGCUGAGAGGUUGAUCCCCCACACGGGCACUGAGAUACGGGCCCGACUCCUACGGGAGGCAGCAGUAGGGAAUAUUGGGCAAUGGAUGCAAGUCUGACCCAGCCAUGCCGCGUGCCGGAUGAAGGCCCUCAGGGUUGUAAACGGCUUUUAUUCGGGAAGAAGGGCAGGGAUGCGUCCUUGUGUGACGGUACCGAAUGAAUAAGCACCGGCUAACUCUGUGCCAGCAGCCGCGGUAAUACGGAGGGUGCGAGCGUUGUCCGGAUUUAUUGGGUUUAAAGGGUGCGUAGGUGGCUUUAUAAGUCAGUGGUGAAAUACAGCCGCUUAACGGUUGAGGUGCCAUUGAUACUGUGGAGCUUGAAACAAGUGGAGGCUGCCGGAAUGGAUGGUGUAGCGGUGAAAUGCAUAGAUAUCAUCCAGAACACCGAUUGCGAAGGCAGGUGGCUACGUUUGAUUUGACACUGAGGCACGAAAGCAUGGGGAGCAAACAGGAUUAGAUACCCUGGUAGUCCAUGCCGUAAACGAUGAGG